AUUGAACGCUGGCGGCAGGCCUAACACACGCCAGUCGAGCGGAUGAAGGGAGCUUGCUCCUGGAUUCAGCGGCGGACGGGUGAGUAAUGCCUAGGAAUCUGCCUGGUAGUGGGGGAUAACGUCCGGAAACGGGCGCUAAUACCGCAUACGUCCUGAGGGAGAAAGUGGGGGAUCUUCGGACCUCACGCUAUCAGAUGAGCCUAGGUCGGAUUAGCUAGUUGGUGGGGUAAAGGCCUACCAAGGCGACGAUCUGUAACUGGUCUGAGAGGAUGAUCAGUCACACUGGAACUGAGACACGGUCCAGACUCCUACGGGAGGCAGCAGUGGGGAAUAUUGGACAAUGGGCGAAAGCCUGAUCCAGCCAUGCCGCGUGUGUGAAGAAGGUCUUCGGAUUGUAAAGCACUUUAAGUUGGGAGGAAGGGCAGUAAGUUAAUACCUUGCUGUUUUGACGUUACCAACAGAAUAAGCACCGGCUAACUUCGUG
rnacentral:rRNA from 1 species